rnacentral:rRNA from 1 species
UACGUAGGGCGCAAGCGUUGUCCGGAUUUAUUGGGCGUAAAGAGCGUGUAGGCGGUUUGGUAGGUCCGCUGUGAAAACUCGAGGCUCAACCUCGAGACGCCGGUGGAAACCAUCAGACUAGAGUCCGGAAGAGGAGAGUGGAAUUCCUGGUGUAGCGGUGAAAUGCGUAGAGAUGUGGAGGAACACCAGUGGCGAAGGCGGCUCACUGGCCCGGUACUGACGCUGAGGUGCGAAAGCGUGGGGAGCAAACAGGG